AUGGAUUCCCGCUCCAGCAUCGACGCCGCGGAAGAAGCGCGGCACCGGCAGGUGAUGGACAGCCUCGGCCUGUACGACGCCGACUGGGCGCUGUCCAGGGUGUUGGAGCAUUCCGACGUCCAGGCGGGGCAGAACCGGUUGCUCUUCACCAAGGAGGCUGUGCGGGCUGGCUCCAUCCCGGAGCUCUUCCCGGAGCUGGAGGAGCUCCGCGCCGACGGCCUGAACGCCGAGAACAGACUCUCGGUCAAGGUCCUCGACGCGGAGGGCCGUGAGAAGGAGGUGAGACUCUGCUACCUCAACUCGAACAAGGCGUACCGGAUCAUGGGGUAUAAUUGGAGGCGGCUCGUGCACGAGAGCCGCAUGUGCAAGGGAGACCGCCUCGAUUUCUACACGUGCAGGCGCGGCGAUGGCGACCGGUGCCUCUUUGUGUUCAGAGCCAGGGCAGGGGCGCCGGCGAUACCUGCCGGAGCAACAGUCUUGUGUUGA
rnacentral:rRNA from 1 species